GAGACACAUGGGGACUGACGCUGUCAGAAGACCCCAGGCAAGCAUGCAUGAGAUAGCCACCUUCAAAGCAAGUAUGCAACUAUGGUCAUGUUCCCAUUGUGGGAGCUUCCGGUAGCCACCUGAGAUGGCAUCCAAAGAGGAGUGCUUCAGGAGCUGUAACAGAAGUGGGGAAAUCUACAGAUUUGGUGCUCUAGGAAGGGAACAGAGAGAGGAUUCCCCCGAGGACUGCAAACUAAAUAACAUAUGCAUGCUGUGGCUGCCGAUAAUAGAGACUCGGGCUGCAAGAGGCGGACUGGCCAGUUUAGAGAUACAGUGCACAGUGUAUUCAGUGUAGGAAAGAGGGAGAGAAAAACGAAUGUGGCUAACACCCCGUGCGGAGGCUGAGGUGUGGUAUAUGCACCUGGACCCAGGAUGAGGGCAUCAGGGGAGAGAAGGUGGAACAUCCAUCAAUAUCCUUAAACUGGAGACUGACAAGCUGAAGACGGACAUGUAAGAGACGGAGAAAUAACCUCUUCAAUCUCUCUGUGUUUAUUUGAGACUAAACGGCGGCAGGACCAGGUGGGACAGAAAUUUCCAUCUGCAGAGAAGCACGCAACUUGACACAGACACAGGACACACAACUGACACUGGAUUCUCAUGGACAAAUCGCUCAUUCCAUACAAUGAAACUUCCACAGUUGGCUCUUUCAAUGGGAUGACCCCAAGGUCCUCAGACAAAGGAAAAGUAGUUUGGGAAUAAGUUCUUAGCAGCUCAAUGGUUAAGCAAGGCUGUGAUGUCAGCACCUGCUCCACCAAUCAGUACCCAGCAGGGAACUUCCUGCAGCCAUAUGUUGGACCCACUCCUGUUUUCCUGGAGUUUGGUAUUUAAAUGGCCCGGGCCUUUUGUGUCCUUAGAUCAACACUCAGGUACUGCUCAGCUGUUCUGAGGUUCUGGAGAGUGAUGAAGAGAAUCCAGUUGGUAGCAUUUUGUGGAGUUGUGUGAACGAGUGGCUGGAAAUGGUUCGGAUGAUGUUCUUAUAUGAAUCCAGUUCUUUUUGGAGAAAUAUGUAGAAGAAACCCAAUCUCUGACAUGGCAGAAUAGCACAAACAGCCAGGAUCGGAGGUACUGAUUUGAGAAUUGAAACUCUUCCCAGAGACUAGGGUCAUGGGGCAGAAUCCACAUCAUUACUGACAUCUAUAAGUAAGGAACUUGUCAGUUCAGACAGCGUCUGUAAAAUUAGUUCUUGUAAGAAAGUAAGAGGAGAAUGUCCAACAAUUUUGCUGACAAUAAUGAAAUGAUGGCUGUGCCAUGCUGUUUGUCAUUGUGAGAACCACAUUUAAGGGGGCUGGAGAGAUGGCUCAGAGGCUAAGAGCAUUGGCUGCUUUUCCAGAGGUCCUGAUUCAAGUCCCAGCAACCACACAGGUGAGGCUCAUAACCAUGGGAUCUCAUGCCCUCUUCGGGCAUACAGGCACACAUGUGGAUAGAGCACUCAUACAUAUAAAUAAAAUUUUAAAAACGGCAUUUAAAAUGGCAUGUUAAUAGCUAUGCCUUACGCUUAUAUUACACUUACAGCAGCAGAGAUCAGUUUGAUGGAUUCUCACACCAGAAUGACUUAGAUUCAAAUUUGGCGUCAACUCAGCAGCAAUACACAUUGAGUGAGUCUGACAUUGCUGAGCCUCGAUUUCCUCAUUGGUAGAAAGAUGGUAACACCUGCCAUAAAAUAUCGUUUUAUGCAUUAAAGGGGCUAUUUGUAAUACCCCCAGUUUCUAUUUUCUAACACAAUGGGCAGUUGCAUAAAACUAUUUUUUUCCUCUAUUUGGUGAAAGUGGAUGAGUUCAAACAACUUUGGGGAACUAAAUUUGAAUGAGUCAAUAGGUAAAACACUAUUCUAAAUGUUUUGAUUCCGUUGGCCAGAAGGAAUGGCAGCCCUGGAAGAAAGAAAGACUCCAGCAGCUAGUGGUAAAUUCUGAACUGUUUGCUCCUCCUCGUCCCAUGGCAGGCCUCAGGGUAAUCACACUAUUAGGGAGGCUUUGCAUUCCCUAUUGGCCAGUGCCUGGAGCUGGUAUGAAACAUUUGCUGAAAGAAACGAAUGAAUAAAUGAUCCCCAACUCUAGGUGGAUCGUCUCUCUCUCUCAGCCUUUCAUCCAGGUGACCUAAUCUUUACGCUCAGCUCUUUGAAAAAUCCGUUUCUUAUAUUUCUCCUGCGUUUCUCUAAUACCUUACAACAAAAGGGUAACAGAAAGCUCUCAUUUGGACUGGCAAUGAGCAGCUCCCUCGUUUUAUUUUCUGUAGGUGUUCCCAGAGCAGAGCGGGGGAUCUCUGAACAAGCUUCCUGGUUCUGCAGAGAGUCUGGUCUGCUCCUUAUUCCUCAUGGGGUCCUUAGGGACAGACACCCUGCCUUCUCCUCUGGUCAGCUCAGUGGGCACUGGUGAAAUCUGAUGCAAACCAACCAGUUGGGCCUGUUUUCUAAGUUAACUCUAAUGGUUAGGGUGGGAGUGACAACUUCCUCUAUGUCAUUUCCUAUUUUAUACUGUCAGAUUUUUUUUAAUCAUGGGAAAUUGGUAUUAGUGUGUUCUAUGGCCUCAUGUGUAUGGUUGUCUCACAAUGUUGUUUGAGAGACAAAGAGACAAAAAUACCCAUAAAUAAAGUAAUGGAA
rnacentral:lncRNA from 1 species